GGGCGGUUAGCUCAGUGGGAGAGCGCGUCGUUGACGACGACGAGGUCGCAGGUUCAAUUCCUGCACCGCCCACCA
rnacentral:tRNA from 1 species